CCCCUACCUGUCUGUCAAUAAGUAGGGUUGGAGGAGUGAGUUUGUUCGCCAUCACAAACACAAAAUGGCAUCCAAGAGCACCAGCCGUCUUCUCCCUGCCUUCCUCCUCCUUGCUCUCCUGCUCCUCUCCUUCGGGGAUGUGGAGAAAGCAGAGGCGAGGAUCUGUUCGACUCCCAGCCUCAAGUUCCACGGCCUGUGCUUCAGCGACACGAACUGCGCAAACAUCUGCCGCACUGAACACUUCCCUAAGGGCUCCUGCCAGGGCUUCCGGAGGCGAUGCAUGUGCGAGACGCCAUGCCCAUCUGAAAACUAGUCGUUUAUAGGCCCUUUUUUCGCCGACUGUCUGUGGUGGGGAUGCAACUAGCAAGUAGUAGUGAUGUCUUUGAUGCCUGAAUUCCUAUCCUUCUCUCUCUCUCUUGUCAAAUGCUGUUUUCCUCUUUCCGUUCCUCAUGUGGAACAAAUAAAAUGAAUUUGGCAGCA